AAAAUAGCUUUCAUAGCUAUUCCUGUCUUGGGCUCGUUGUACCUUGCCUUUUGCUUGUUUGCAGCAAAUAAAGUAUCCGGACAAGUUCUUUCAUACUUUGGAAUUGUCCUGAAUUAUGCAAGUGUCUUCAUCCUGACAGGUUAUAAUGCUACUACAGACAAUACACAGCAAUGCAGGCAGGGCCCUACUGCUAGUGUUCCUUUUGUUUGUACUACAUGUAUCCUGGCUAGCAAUUGCUUACUGCAGUAUGUCCUGAG